rnacentral:rRNA from 1 species
UAUCCUACGGGGCGCAGCAGUGAGGAAUAUUGGUCAAUGGGCGGGAGCCUGAACCAGCCAAGUCGCGUGAGGGAAGACGGUCCUAUGGAUUGUAAACCUCUUUAGGCGGGGAGCAAUGCCGGGCACGCGUGCCCGGAGGGAGAGUACCCGCAGAAUAAGCAUCGGCUAACUCCGUGCCAGCAGCCGCGGUAAUACGGAGGAUGCGAGCGUUAUCCGGAUUUAUUGGGUUUAAAGGGUGCGUAGGUUGUUUUAUAAGUUAGCGGUGAAAUACCGAUGCUCAACAUCGGGGCUGCCGCUAAUACUGU